rnacentral:rRNA from 1 species
UACGUAGGGUCCGAGCGUUGUCCGGAAUUAUUGGGCGUAAAGGGCUCGUAGGCGGCCAACUAAGUCGGAUGUGAAAUCCCCAGGCUCAACCUGGGAACUGCAUCCGAUACUGGAUGGCUUGAAUUCGGGAGAGGGAUGCAGAAUUCCAGGUGUAGCGGUGAAAUGCGUAGAUAUCUGGAGGAAUACCGGUGGCGAAGGCGGCAUCCUGGACCGACAUUGACGCUGAUGAGCGAAAGCUAGGGGAGCAAACGGG